UGGCCGCAGUAUUUUGACUGUGCAAAGGUAGCAUAAUCAUUAGUCUUUUAAUUGAAGGCUUGUAUGAAUGGUUGGACGAAGUAUUAACUGUUUCAUAUAAAUUUAUAAUAAAAUUUUAUAUUUUAGUAAAAAAGCUAAAAUUUAAUUAAAAGACGAGAAGACCCUAUAAAUCUUUAUAUUUAAGUUUUAAUUUAAUUUUUUAAAUUAAUUUAAUUAAAUUUAAUUUAAUUAUUUUAUUGGGGUGAUAUUAAAAUUUAUAAAACUUUUAAUUUUAAAUAUACAUUAAUUUAUGUUUUAUUGAUCUAUUAAUAAUGAUUAUAAGAAUAAGUUACUUUAGGGAUAACAGCGUAAUUUUUUUGGAGAGUUCUUAUUAAUAAAAAAGUUUGCGACCUCGAUGUUGGAUUAAGAAAUAAAUUUAGGUGUAGAAGCUUAAAAAUUAAGUCUGUUCGACUUUUAAAUUCUUACAUGAUCUGAGUUCAGACCGGCGUAAGCCAGGUUGGUUUCUAUCUUUAAUUUUUUAUAAUAUUUUAGUACGAAAGGACCAAAUAUUAAAUUUAUAAAAAUUUAAUUUUUUGAAAAUAAUUAAAUU
rnacentral:rRNA from 1 species